rfam:Bacteroidetes bacterium OLB10 TZ10_BCD003CONTIG000048, whole genome shotgun sequence.
UAUGGUGACUAUUGCAAGGGUGUCCACCUCUUCCCAUACCGAACAGAGAAGUUAAGCCCCUUAGCGCAGAUGGUACUACAGUAACAUGUGGGAUAGUAUGUCGUUGCCGUAA